CCUACGGGGGGCAGCAGUGGGGAAUAUUGGACAAUGGGGGCAACCCUGAUCCAGCCAUGCCGCGUGUGUGAAGAAGGCCCUCGGGUUGUAAAGCACUUUCAGUGAGGAAGAACGCCUGGUGGUUAAUACCCAUCAGGAAAGACAUCACUCACAGAAGAAGCACCGGCUAACUCCGUGCCAGCAGCCGCGGUAAUACGGAGGGUGCGAGCGUUAAUCGGAAUUACUGGGCGUAAAGCGCGCGUAGGUGGCUUGAUAAGCCGGUUGUGAAAGCCCCGGGCUCAACCUGGGAACGGCAUCCGGAACUGUCAAGCUAGAGUGCAGGAGAGGAAGGUAGAAUUCCCGGUGUAGCGGUGAAGUGCGUAGAGAUCGGGAGGAAUACCAGUGGCGAAGGCGGCCUUCUGGACUGACACUGACACUGAGGUGCGAAAGCGUGGGUAGCAAACAGGAUUAGAUACCCCAGUAGUC
rnacentral:rRNA from 1 species